rnacentral:tRNA from 1 species
GGGGAUGUAGCCCAGUGGUAGAGUGUUUGCCUAGCAUGCACAAGACCCUGGGUUCCAUCCCCA